CUACUGUAUUUUUCUUUCUUUUUAUUUUUUUCAAUUCCAGGCACAUGAUGCUCGAGGAGGGCCUACUAUAAUAGCAAACAUCGAAUGGGGAGGGGAAGACCAAAAAAAUUGUUCAUGAACUAAUGAACAGUUGAGUGUGGAAAUGAACUGCAGUAUUUUCAUACAAUAGAAUACUUCCUGGCAGUGAAAAUGAUCUACAGAUAGACAAAGCGACAUGACGCUCAGAAACUUAAUAUGCAAGAAAAAGCAAGUCACAGGGUAAUAUAUGGAGUUUCGCUCUUGUUGCCCCGGCUGGAGUGCAAUGGCGUGAUCUUGGCUCACCUCAACCUUCCUCUCCCUGGUUCAAGCGAUUCUCCUGCCUCAGCCUCCCGAGUAGCUAGGAUUACAGUGGAUUCCAAAGCAUGAGUUGGGCUGCUUUUGAAUAGUGGGAGACGGGAGUUUACUCCGAUCACAGAAACCAUACCAACUGAAAGACAAAUCAGCAUCUUGCUGGACAACCCCUCACAGGGCUCC